UUGGAUUUCUUCCGUGGGGAAAGUUGCCUGCAAGUUUCCCAAGCGAGAAGUCCAGCCUGCUCAGUCGGAGGCAUUGCUGGCCGAAGGGGACACGAGGGAGCCAUCGCAAAGAGGGCUUCUGGUUGCUAAACCUGAUUCCAUAUCCUCAGUGGAAGAAGCAAGAGAUCCACCUGUCCAGGACCGAGAAGAAAGAAAGAGAGCAGCAGACACUGAAGGACCCAGAACAAGUCCAAGGAAAAACCACAACUCCACAUACUUGAGAAAAACAACAGGAAAGCAUCAGUGGAACAAAAUGGGAAAAGGAGAAUGAAUAGUUUCCUCAGAGUGCAGAAUCCCAGGUGUUUGAUAGACACUGAACAGUUAACACAGGGGAGAAAUCUCAUAAAUGGUUCGAGUGUGGAAAGAGUUCUGCUCAAAAU